UUCUGUCUCUGCCUAACACCGCCAAGCCCCAAACCAAGUCCCUUGGCUUUCUUCAAACUCUGAGUUCCGUUAGCUUGUUUCGAAAAAUAAUGGGCGAACAAGUUUGGAUCCUCCCCUCUGUUUUCCUUUUGAUGCGCGUUGUAAAUAGAUAUGGGUAAAGAUGGAUUUGGUUUCGGUAUCAGAUGAUGGUUUUGAUGUUGCAAUUACAAAUGCAUGAAAGCCCCUUAAUCCGGAAAAUGGAAUUCGGACACGACAAUUUCAAAUGAUGAAAGCCCCCAAUUGGGAAAGUAAGAAGUGGCUCACUUGUUUCAUUAUCACAUGAUUCUCUUUUGUUACGCUCCAGUCCCUUUUUUCUUAUGAUUUGCUUUCAAUAUGUGAUUUAAAUUAGAAUCCCAAUGACGAAAUAUUUGGUAAUAUGAAAGAUAUGCAAAAGAAAUUUCACCUGAAAGAGCCAAUUUCUCAUUUUAUUUGGGGUUGAAAUCAGACAUUUCAGAGGGAUUUGUUGUCCGUGGUUUUGACCCUGUCCCAAAGUAUUAUAUGGUGUAACAUUGUGUUUUUUGGUUAUGUUGUCUCUAAAUGAGAAUUAAAUGGUGGAAGCACCAGAGAGCUGCUUGUGUAUCUCUUGUUAUGCUGUCCCUGCCUUGAAAUUAAGUGGUGGAAUCAUCUUAGAGCUGGUUGUGUAUUCCUGGCUGUGUUGUCCCUGUCCCGAGGAUUGUGAAACGAAAUAGUUAUAUGGUGGUUACAUCAUAGAGCUGGUUGGAUUUGUCCAUGUCCCAAUAAUUAAAUGGUGGAAGCACCAUAGUUAGUUUCUAGCUUCUACUUUUAUAUAUGGAAAAGAUAAUGAGCAAUGGUUGCUUUGAAACAUAAAAUUUGCUCAAAUUCCCUGUUACUGCAAAACUAUUACUGUCAGGGAAACUGACAGCUAAUAAAUAUCUACUCAAUCC